rnacentral:rRNA from 1 species
UACGGGGGGGGCAAGCGUUGUUCGGAAUUACUGGGCGUAAAGGGCUUGUAGGUGGCCAACUAAGUCAGACGUGAAAUCCCUCAGCUUAACUGGGGAACUGCGUCUGAUACUGGAUGGCUUGAGUUUGGGAGAGGGAUGCGGAAUUCCAGGUGUAGCGGUGAAAUGCGUAGAUAUCUGGAGGAACACCGGUGGCGAAGGCGGCAUCCUGGACCAACACUGACACUGAGGCGCGAAAGCCAGGGGAGCGAACGGG